AGAGUUUGAUCCUGGCUCAGAGCGAACGCUGGCGGCGUGCUUAACACAUGCAAGUCGAACGCGCAGUUUUCUGUAGCAAUACAGGAGGCGGGCGCGUGGCGAACGGGUGCGUAACACGUGGAUAACCUUCCUUCAGGUGGGGAAUAACCCAGUGAAAAUUGGGCUAAUACCGCAUAACAUCGCGAGGGCACAUGCUCUUGCAUUCAAACCCGCAAGGGGCCGGAAGAGGGAUCCGCGGCCGAUUAGCUAGUUGGCGAGGUAACGGCUCACCAAGGCGAUGAUCGGUAGCCGGACUGAGAGGUUGGCCGGCCACACUGGAACUGAGACACGGUCCAGACUCCUACGGGAGGCAGCAGUGGGGAAUCUUGCGCAAUGGGCGAAAGCCUGACGCAGCAACGCCGCGUGGGGGAUGAAGCUUCUCGGAGUGUAAACCCCUUUCGACCCGGACGAAUGCCCGCAAGGGUUUGACGGUACGGGUAUAAGAAGCCCCGGCUAACUACGUGCCAGCAGCCGCGGUAAAACGUAGGGGGCCAGCGUUGCUCGGAAUUACUGGGCGUAAAGGGUCCGUAGGCGGUGUGACAAGUCGGUAGUGAAAUCUCCGGGCUUAACUCGGAGGCUGCUGCCGAAACUGUUGUGCUAGAGUGCGAGAGAGGCGAGUGGAAUUGCGGGUGUAGCGGUGAAAUGCGUAGAUAUCCGCAGGAACAUCCGAGGCGAAAGCGGCUCGCUGGAUCGCAACUGACGCUGAGGGACGAAAGCUAGGGGAGCAAACAGGAUUAGAUACCCCGGUAGUCC
rnacentral:rRNA from 1 species